AUUGAACGCUGGCGGCAUGCUUUACACAUGCAAGUCGAACGGUAACAGGUCUUCGGAUGCUGACGAGUGGCGAACGGGUGAGUAAUGCAUCGGAACGUGCCCAGUCGUGGGGGAUAACGCAGCGAAAGCUGCGCUAAUACCGCAUACGAUCUAUGGAUGAAAGCGGGGGACCGUAAGGCCUCGCGCGAUUGGAGCGGCCGAUGUCAGAUUAGGUAGUUGGUGGGGUAAAGGCUCACCAAGCCAACGAUCUGUAGCUGGUCUGAGAGGACGACCAGCCACACUGGGACUGAGACACGGCCCAGACUCCUACGGGAGGCAGCAGUGGGGAAUUUUGGACAAUGGGCGCAAGCCUGAUCCAGCAAUGCCGCGUGCAGGAAGAA
rnacentral:rRNA from 1 species